rnacentral:tRNA from 1 species
UAGUUUAAAACCAAAUAGAGGUAGAUUAUUGUUAAUAAUCUUAUUGAUAAUAUUAUCUUAACUAA